UCCCUCGAGCCGGAUUUGACCAGUGACCUAAGGAUCACCGUUGUAACAUCUAAAGUCCUCCGCUCUGCCAACUGAGCUAUCGAGGG